rnacentral:rRNA from 1 species
AGAGUUUGAUCCUGGCUCAGAUUGAACGCUGGAGGCGUGCUUAACACAUGCAAGUCGUGCGAGAAAGGGACUUCGGUCCUGAGUAGAGCGGCGCACGGGUGAGUAACGCGUGGGUGAUCUCCCUUGGUGAUCGGGAUAACAGCGGGAAACUGCUGCUAAUACCGGAUAAUCUUCAUGUUUAACUUCAUGGGUAAAGGUGG